rnacentral:rRNA from 1 species
AUUGAACGCUGGCGGAAUGCUUUACACAUGCAAGUCGAACGGUAGAGGGGGCAACCCCUCGAGAGUGGCGAACGGGUGAGUAAUAUAUCGGAACGUGCCCAGUCGUGGGGGAUAACGUAGCGAUAGUUACGCUAAUCCCGCACACGACCUAAGGAUUAACGCGGGGGAUCGCAAGACAUCGCGCGCUUGGAGCGGCCGAUAUCAGAUUAGGUAGUUGGUAGGGUAAAGGCUCACCAAGCCAACGAUCUGUAGCUGGUCUGAGAGGACGACCAGCCACACUGGAACUGAGACACGGUCCAGACUCCUACGGGAGGCAGCAGUGGGGAAUUUUGGACAAUGGACGCAAGUCUGAUCCAGCCAUUCCGCGUGCAGGAUGAAGGCCCUCGGGUUGUAAACUGCUUUUGUACGGAACGAAAAGGUCUCUCUUAAUACGGGGGACUCAUGACGGUACCGUAAGAAUAAGCACCGGCUAACUACGUGCCAGCCGCCGCCGUAA